CUAGCUAUUAGUAAUUAAGUGUUUGGUGAGUCAAAAGUAUAAGCAGAUUUUCAUCUGCAUAGGGGUUGGUGCCCCUAAUCCCUGUGUUGUUCAAGGGUCAACUACUGUGAUAAUUCUGACACACGGAUAACAACAAACUUACAAAUUACAGAAAAAAUAAAAUUUUUGGUUUCACAAUUUAUGUAACACAAUAAAUAAUACUUGAUUAACAUGAUAACCUGAAAAAAAAAAAACAGGUAAUACGUAUUGAACUGACUAUAAAUUGAUCAGUAUUUUAUGCCCAUAAUCUCAACCCACUGCAUUGGGAAUAAUUAAAAUCACCAUUUUUUAGGUGAAAAAAAAACCCGGAGACACAGAGUCAUUGAAUAAUUUGCUCAGGAUCACAAAGGCAGAGAGGGGCAGAACUCGCAUUGUAUCCCACAAGGUCUGCUGCACUCUUAACCAUUAGACAUAAUAUAUGUAUUGCCUCAAAGAUUAUUGCAAGAGUUAAUGAAUACUUGGGUAAAGCACCUCUUCCCAUGUGACUGGCACAUGCAUUUACUAGUAAGUGCUCAAUGAAUGCUAGUUCUCUCCCCUGCUUCCUUGCCCACUUCCUUGUCUCCUGCCUUAGGGCCAAGCUGCGACAAGUGGGUGGAAGUCGCAGAGUUACUUUCAAUCCAGUGAAAGGAAGAACUUUCUGAUGAUGGAGUCCUCUGGCAGAGACCUCUGCUUUUGGGAGGGGAAGACAAGAGCCCAGCUGAUAGCCACUGGUGGCUGGACUCUUUCCUCAGUUCGGAGAAGUGAGAGAUCGCCAUGGGAGGGUUCGCUGGGAGCUCUUAGACCUUUGAGCAAAGAAUUCACUCAUUCACAGAGUCAUUCUUGAUCCUUCUCUCUCCCUUGUCCCUCCCAUACAAUUCAUCACCAGUUGUGUUGACUCUAUCCCCAAAUACUCCAUCAUUCCUCAGCCUCUCUUCAUCUUUAUAGCUACUACCUGCUCCGGCAUCUCUCCCUUGGACCUUGAGAUUGGCCACCUAAAGGAGAGUGUGAUGUUUCUGACCUUCCCUUGUCCCCCUUGUCCAUCCAUAGAGCCCUCUAUAGGGCCUUUCUAAAACAUUGUGAUUAUUUCCCACCUCAGCUCGGGACUUUCAGGGCCUUUCCAUGCCUGUAGAAAAGGUCUGAUGAGACCUACAGGGGUGAUUUUACUAGUCAUCCACAACCUCUUGGGGCCAUCAAAGGCUUCCCCCGGGCCUUUGCAUAUGCUGUUUUCUUUGCUUGGGACCCUUCACCCACCCUCUCUCUCUGGCUAACUUUUUCUCCUCUUUCCAAUCUCAGCUUGUACAUUUCUUCCUCUUGGCAGUUGUUCUUGACACCCUGUUCCUCCCUCCUUACUCCAGUUGGUGGGGUGAGUCCACCUUUCCCAUGUUGUCAGAGCCCCCACCUCUUAUUUCAGCUCUGGGGCCUAACCUGUGUCACAUACCACAGCUUUUCUUGAGUCCUCCAAGCACCAAGCCCCUGGCUAGACCCUGAGGAUGGAAGGAUAAAUGUGCCGUGUUCCAGGGCUUAGAGGGGCUUACCAUGAGAUAGUGAGGUGGGUCUAGGCCAGAUGGGAUAAUGUGUUGGCCAAGUUGAGCCAAGGUAUUCUGGGAAGGAGCACAGGGAAGACAGACCACCCAGCCUGAGAGGGUCUGGGAGGGCUUCCUGGAGGAAGAAGUGCUGAAGCAAGCUUUUAAGGUCUCAGUAGGAUUUAUGAGACCUUAAAGGGAAGGAGGGAAGUGGAUGCCCAGCUAGAAUCCCAAGUGAGCAAGGCAAACUGGGAAUUGCAGGAGGUCUGAGCUAAGACUGGUGUGAUCGCGCAGACAGCCGACUUGCUGGGUGAGCAGGAAAGGAUUCGUGGAGGCCCCCAGACUUCUAGAAGGGCACUAGGGGUUGGAGGUGCCUUUUGGAAGUAUACAGGGGGACUAGGUUCUGGGGGACAACGGGAUGAAGGGGUUAGGAGCCUGUUUGAUUUGGAGUCCCCAUAGGACCACCAUGCGGGAAAUUGCUUGGUGGAAAGGGCACUGGAGGUGGGGAGGCAGCACAGAUAAAGGCCAAGAGACCAGAGGGACCUGGGCAGGUGAGACAUUGAGAACAGCUGGCUGGGGCCUGGGGAAAGAGGAGGGAGGGGCUAGUGAUAAAGGCGGAUGGUCAGCUAGAGGAUGUGCCUGGGGCGACUGUACCAGAGAACUGAGAGCCAGAUACUGUACUAAAUGCUUUUUAAAUAUCACUUCUUAUCUUCCCAACAAUGCUGCACCAGCCUGUCUCACAGAUGGUAACAUGGAGGCUCCCAGGGGAUAAAGGACUUGCUCAAGACCAUACAGCUCCGGCUGGGGCCUGUGCACAGCAGGUGGGGACGCUGAGGCUCCGAGGUUGAAAGGCUUGUGUGGCUGGCUGGCUGGGAUAUAGAUCUGAAUCUGCCUGACUCCACAGACCAGUUAACUUUUUCAACACGGUCAUUAUCAAGUUCCUCACUGAGCGACCACCCACAUCACUGUCACCGCCAGCGUGGUCAUCAGCUUUACCAACGUCAUCAACGGAGACAUGAGCGCUGACAUCACUGUCAGCAUCCGCCUCAUCUGCGGCAUCCUGUUGGCGGCCCCAGGAUCACAGCAGCAGCGCGACAGUCUAACCGGUAACUAGACAGGCCUAAGUCCAGCCUUGUAAAGCACUGCCUCCUCACCUGGCAGUCUUCCUGGGUUUCUCAUUCAUUCCCAGACCCAUAGGACCACCUGUUGAUUCUCCUGUGACUCACCACCACGACUUCCCCUGCUGAGAAGAGCUUAUUUCUAGAGGACUACUUGCUAAGGUGUUGUCUGGGAGUGGAGAACCAUAGGCCAUAAUACAGUCGCCCCUGGCUAGUCCCUGUAGAGCUCUUACCACCUGAAGAGGGGACGAAACAAUAAAACUGCAAGGAGAGAAUCUGGUAGAGAAGUCCCAGGGGCAGUGACCUUCCAGGAGAGGCGCAGUCAGUCUGGGGAGAGUUCCCAGGGAGGGGGCAGGAAAGGAACCCCCAGAUUUUUCUGAUCUUUCUGAAUUUCGGUUCUUUCCAUUCUCUUGCUGGGGCCUGCUGUCCUUGGCUGAGGCCAUGCGGAAGCCAGAGGGUAAGAGAGCCAUUACACCAGCCCCCACAGGUCCUUCCAGGGCAGGCAACAGAGGGCAGGAGGGCAGGAGGGCAGAGAACAAUCCAGAGCACAGAUGAGGGGGAAGGGAGAUUAUAUGUCAGAACUGAGAUUUCUGAUGGGUAAGUUGAGAAAACUUUGAAUGUCACAAGUAGAAAGGUUCUCAGGGUCAAGCUGUUCACCUUAAUUUCACAGAUGAGAAAACAGAAGUGCAGAGUGGGUUCGUGCUGGUCCGAGACCACACAGUCAGGUGGAGUCAGAGAUGAGGCCGGAGUAAGUGCGAACUCCACAGUUGAUUAGUAAACUGGUUCUUUGGGACAGACUACCUAAUAAAUUACACAAGAGGAAUGCGGGUUUAAAUCUUACUGGCUACGCUGGCAUGCUUGAUAACUGGUGAGAUGCCCCAAUGGGGGUCGAUUUGCAAGGGGUGGUUGACAGUCCUCCAGGGAACAGAGUCCUCCAGAAGGCAGAGGCCACUAACAAUGCCACUAAUAAUGUUCACGCAGCUGUGAGUGACCUGAGAUCAGAAACGCGGCAUGGUGAUUAUUUUUCAAGGCCGUUCCUCACCUGGCUUCCUGGGCAUAUAUUUGAAUCCCCCAGAAAGCUGUGUGUGUGUGUCUGUUUUAUGGGUGCAAGGCUCUGAAGUAGAACCUGAAAGAACCGCUGUAAGACCCUCUUCCAAGCUGUGCUGCUUUGGGGCCCCAAAAGCAGCCCAUGACACAGAGAGGAAAACCCAUGCUCUCCUCACCGCAGACCUCACUUCGUUUCAGUUCUCUUUCCGUCAGUUUCCCUCCGCUCCUUUACGGAAAAUUAAAGCAAAUGUACGGUGCUUUACAAUUUUGAGACAUUCUUUUCUUACUCCCUCUAUUACCCCACAACAAGCCUGUGACUGAGCAAGGGCAGGGCUUAUUAUAUCCAACUGUCAGAAGAGGGGGUGAAUUCGGGAAGGCUGAAGAAUGGGCCAAGGGCACGCGGGCAGAAAGGGGCGGAACCGGACGGUGGGCGGGACCCCGAGGACCACACCCUUCCAGUGGCGCUGCAUUCGGUGCCCUGGACCUUCUCCUACUGUUUCUCUCCCCUUUCAGCUCAUCCCUCUGGUCUGAUAGGCUCGAAGCACUCCUUCAGGAACUUUCUGGCGUGCUCCUUGGUAUCAAGAGUGAGUACGCAGAGAUGUGCCUGUUGGCAGAGCCUCUGUCUCCACGGGGAGAGAAACAAACUGGGUGACUUUCCCCAUCUUGUACCAACCUAGGGGUUAUUUGCAGACAAUACAUGAAAAUUACAACACCAUAAGCCACUGAGAAAUCUUCCCUUGAACCGAUCAGAUUCUGACAUCUGCUUACUGUUUAAUUAUCUUCUGACUGAGGAAAUGGAAAAGUUGACGAAUAGUUUAACCCAACGAAGAGUCAGGUUCCUUGUCUUCCCCCCUUUGUGAGCAUGUUUGUAGAACCCUAAUCUGCCAACAUUGCCUCGUCUCUCUGGGACCCUGGCAAAAAACAUAGACAAAUAUUUAUAUUUCAUGAACUCAAGAUGGUUUUCAUACCGUUUUCAUGUUUAACUGAUUUCAAAUGAAUGACAAUGGUCCUUAAUGUGGUUACAAGAAUUUGCCAUUAAUUUUCACUUAAAAUUGGCUCCAACCGGUGUAUAUGCCUACACUGCACUCCAGUUCUUAAUGAUUUGGCUUCCAAAAACAUGGGCUGCUUCCCACUGGCUGAUUGGCACAACAGCUUCGUGGGGGCAUCACUCUCCUAUUAUAUGGGAACAAAAAUUAAGUUCAGAAUAUCACUCCUACUUUGGAACUCUGGGCGAAGGCCACAGGAGUGAGGCUGGCUCUGCACACCAGCCCAUCCGUAGCUGCCGGCUCCAGCUUCCGGCAGGAGGCAGGCCUGGGUUGCCAGGGCGCACACGAGUGUGGUUCAAAGUCUUCUAGCACUGAAAACACUUUCUGGUGUCUUUCUCCUUUGGCUUUUGCAAGCAGUGGGGUCUAUUCUAAGUUCUUUGUGAGGCUUCAAGUCUUCACCCCUGUUGGGAGCCGGGGCUAUGUCCCUUCCCCCACGUCUGAACGCAGCAUGGGAAAGCACAAGCUUGAGAGCAACCGGUGCAGUCCUUGGAAGUUAUCUGCUCACAAAAACAUAUC